AUUGAACGCUGGCGGAAUGCUUUACACAUGCAAGUCGAACGGCAGCACGGACUUCGGUCUGGUGGCGAGUGGCGAACGGGUGAGUAAUGUAUCGGAACGUGCCCAGUCGUGGGGGAUAACGUAGUGAAAAUUACGCUAAUACCGCAUACGAUCUAUGGAUGAAAGCGGGGGAUCGCAAGACCUCGCGCGAUUGGAGCGGCCGAUAUCAGAUUAGGUAGUUGGUGGGGUAAAGGCCCACCAAGCCAACGAUCUGUAGCUGGUCUUAGAGGACGACCAGCCACACUGGAACUGAGACACGGUCCAAACUCCUACGGGAGGCAGCAGUGGGAAAUUUUGGACAAUGGGCGAAAGCCUGAUCCAGCCACUCCGCGUGCAGGAUGAAGGCCCUCGGGUUGUAAACUGCUUUUGUACAGAACGAAAAGGUUUCUACUAAUACUAGGAGCUCAUGACGGUACUGUAAGAAUAAGCACCGGCUAACUACGUGCCAGCCGCCGCCGUAA
rnacentral:rRNA from 1 species